rnacentral:rRNA from 1 species
UACGGAGGGUGCAAGCGUUAUCCGGAUUCACUGGGUUUAAAGGGUGCGUAGGUGGGCUGGUAAGUCAGUGGUGAAAUCUCCAGGCUUAACUUGGAAACUGCCAUUGAUACUAUCAGUCUUGAAUACCGUGGAGGUCAGCGGAAUAUGUCAUGUAGCGGUGAAAUGCUUAGAUAUGACAUAGAACACCAAUUGCGAAGGCAGCUGGCUACACGAAUAUUGACACUGAGGUGCGAAAGCGUGGGGAGCAAACAGG